rnacentral:rRNA from 1 species
UGGAGGUACAGUCAAGAUAAUGGGUAUUAACCACUACCAUUUCUUCCCUCCUGACAGGAUUUUACGACCCGAAGGCCUUCAUCAUCCACGCGGCGUUGCUGCGUCAGGCUUUCGCCCAUUGCGCAAGAUCCCU